GAAGUCGGUGAAAAACUACACGGCAAACCACUCUUCCGUAUCAGUUUCCGGAAAAAAAGUCCAACAUUCCAAAUUGAUUUAGUGAACGGGUUCAGGCGGAAAGUGCUGCAUUCAAUUAAUUUUAGUAAACCGCGUUGUAAGAUUCGUGAAAAAGAUUUCAAAUCCGAUUCGAUCCAGCCAUUGUAAGAUGCAGCAGGAAAGUGUGAAUUUCCACUUGGUCGUCUUUGUUCGGUCCUGCUUUUGCGAAAAUUGCUAGAAGUUACCAAAUUGAGAGAGACGAAAGCAACGGAAGCACCCCAUUUCGACCCCAUCUGCUCAGGUCGAGAUCGAGUCGAGGACGAAUCGUGAUUGAGUCCCAAGUCCAGUUGAGCUGCACAGGAUCGAAUUGAAUUGAUUGCAUUCAAUUCCUCCGAAGGAAAUUCUCGGAAAUCACACGUCCUUAAUUCGGCCUAGUUCGUAAAACUUGUCGAAACUUACAAUUUUCUCGCGACUGGAGCUGCAAAAGACGAAAGCGAAUCCUUAUGAUCGGUUCAUUUUGGAAUUUGUGUAGAGCGUGCCCAUCAAUGCCCGUCGACAAGCUCCAUUCGGAAUACCGGAGCACAUAUCGGUGGCAUGAGUACACGGGAAAUUCUCGCCCAGAGGUGGUUCGGAAGCCUCCCGUACCUAACCAAUUCGCCAGCUCAACGGAACACUUCUUUUCCAAAUCGAUGGAGGAUGAGAAGUCUACUGAAGGUCCGAUCAACGAACCACCUCUGCCCAGGCGUAAAAAGUGCCCCGAAUUGGCAUAUAGGACACAUGAUUUCAUUAGUGGUUCUGGCAAUGCACCAUCAGCAACAAACUUACGAAAUGAUAACGAAUCUGUAACUCGCGCUAGGUCUGAGGAACGGGGAACACCUUCGAGGCGAAGUAAGUCAGAAGGUCCACCAGGAGUGGCUAAUGGCAGGGCAUAUCCUUAUGAGAAUGAUGUCGCGGCCAGGCAUAACGGAACUGUUCCUGAAAAGGCGGGUGAGUCUAGUGGACUGUUCAAAAAGACAAUCACAAAAUUGAGUACAGAAUAUCGCCUACAAUUUGUUUGGCCCCAUGUUCGUAAGGCGAUCAAAGGGGAUUCAAAUAAUGCCCAAGAUACCCCUAGAAAGUCUUUAUCAAUGGGAGCUAUUAAAUCAUCACAAACGAAUGCAAUGCCAACAGUUCAUAAAAAACGCACAGCAAACGAAAAAGAAGCUACAGCUUAUGAACUGGAACCGCUCGUGAACGAUGCAGAGGAGCGAAAACCUAUCGAAAAGCAAGCGAAUACGGAGCAAAAAUCUAAUCGUCCUUUUACACAAAUGGCGGAGCAGGAACGUCAUCAUCGGUCGCUUACACGAAAGGAGAACUUUGGUUUCAGCGAAGAAAGGGCGGAGCAAAAUGCUGAUAGUAAGACUUUAGUUAACGGAACAGGACCAUAUGGUGAAGAAUGGUAUAAGGAUGUAAUUGAACUUCGAAAGAAAGCUGGUGAAUAUAAGUGUCGAGGAUGGGGAAUAGAAAUCGAUCCUGAGCUUUAUAAGAAGCAAAAAGAACUUUGGGAUCAAGUUUCGAGACGAAGCUCCCUCUCUGCCUUAUCACUAGCAUCUUCUGUUCAUAGACCAAUUACAAAAGAAGAAAAAGAACAGGAAAAUAACAAGAAAUCUUCUCCAACUAAAUCGACUAGAGGAAGAGUUCCUGGACAAGCACAUUCUGUUGAUAAUAAAACAAUUCCUGAUGGACCUAUACUGCCAGCACGCGUUCAAACCAUUCGUCAUCAUCUAGAAAGGACAACUGGGCCUGACGUUGAAGAAGGAGCAUUGCUUCCAUCGCCAACUCGCGAGAAACUUAUGCCAACUAUUCCAAAAUCUAAGGAAUCCGAGCCUUAUAGUUCGUCUCAACGUGGUAGCCCAAAGAAAAGUGCCACAUCACGUCAUGGAAGUCCUCAAAAAGGUAGCCCACAAAAGGGUAGUCCCAAAAAGACUAUGAAAGGUCGCUCGCAGUCCGUUGGACCGAGCGCUAUUGACGCGAGCGAAUCGCCAAAACGACAAAUCCGUUCCGUGAGCACAGCUCCCUCUGCAGCUAAAGCCAAUAAGAAGACGCCCGUUGCAACACCGACAACUGGAGAGCGAAGACCUAGACCAUCUACCCUAUCCACAUCAACCCAUUCCCGUUCGAAAAGUAGUUCCUUACCUCCUAGUGGUAGAGUUCAUUCAACCUCUGGUACUCAUCAUAUACAAUCAAUAUCACAAAAUGAUACAAAUAAGACAUCAACUACUACAGCCUCAGCCCAAGGGGCAAAUCAAUCCCAUCCGAUUAUGCGUAAGACUAAUAAAUCCUCAAAACAAAUGAGACCAAAAUCGGCAGUUGUAAAUGGCCCCGCGAACAAUGCUAUGACUGAAUCGACGAUUUUGAGUGAUGUUCAAACUGUGCCUAAAAAUCAGGAUCAAAAAAAAUUGGCAGAAAAUGAGGAAGAAAGCCAUGAAAAAGAUGGCGGUGUUUCAAUUGCAAGUCAUAGUCCACAGCCACCCCAGACCGAGAUUACUGAGCAUAUUGUCAAGUCGCCACCGGAGCCUACUCGCGUCAAGUCCCCUGAGCAAAUAAUCAUGAGAUCACCAGAUCCUGUCAAUUGGACCGUCCCAUUGGAUACUGGGAAAACUUUUACAGUGACCCAGAAUGUUAAAGAUGGUGAAAAUUUCAGUCGACCACAGAGCGAGGUGAAGGCAUCAACACCAAUUGAACGACCUCCCCCGGCUCCACAGUCCGCUCCACCAGAAUUGGCUGAGCAAGCAAAAAUGGAAGCUUGGAAAAAUCCCGGAGCGAACAGUGAAAGAAAAAAUUCAGGAGGACCUAGUCCCACUGGUCUGAAGAAACCUCCGGAGAUUCGUUAUGAUAAACCAGUGCCAGGGUCGUCGAUACGUUGUCUGGAUGAUCCAUCUUUUGAAUCCGACCCUGUUACCAUUCGUACUACAGCUGCUGAUGUCCUAGAGAAGGCUCGUGACCGUUUUGAUCGUUUCUGGGGUGCAAGUAAAGAAGAAAGUGUUUAGAGAGGGGGAAAUGUAAUUUGGCUUUCUUAAACGCGGCUUUCAGCUCAAAAUGCACGCCAUCAAAACGAAAACCAAGUAAAAUAUUUUAUGACAGGGUAACCAGGAGAAAUUUGGCUGAAAUUUUAAAAAUUUUGAAAUGAAACUUAUGCAAACCUCAUACACUUCGCUGACGCCAAAAUUACACCAACACAUACAGCGUAUAGGAUGCAUUCUACUAUACGGAUAGCAUUGUCAAUGAAGUAGAACAACAUUAAAGUUUAAUUUCCGGAGACCAAGUUUAGAAUCGAAAGUUUUAUCUAAUGAACAGACAAAACCAAAAUAUAACGUUUUGCGUCCUUAAAACUAAAACUACGACUAAACUAAAUUUUGAAAGCCACAAGGAUAAGUCUUUGGAGAAACAGCACAGCAUGCAAAAUCAUUUGAGAUUAAAACAAAUAAAUGCUAUUUAGUAAGCUCUGUAAGUUCCACAUAGGUUCCAGAUAGAAAAGUUGAAUUUUUUUACAACUACAAAUGAAAAGAUGCAGAUAGGAUUGAAUAAAAUCAUGCACGUCACACAUCAUGCAAUAAUUGACAAAAAAAUGUUGAACUGCACAUCAAUUGAAAUUGAAGAAUAAAAUAAAUAAAAAAAAGCAAAAAAAAAAACAGAAACUCGAGAGCUUAUUCAACUAACGUGAAAUUAUACUGAAAUUUCAAUAUAUGGUCUCAAAUCUCAAUAAAAUGAAAACAACAACACAUUUUUUGAAUUUAAUGUAAUUUAAUCAACCAGAAAUGAUCAAGAAAGGCAGCGCAAAUAAUGUAACCGAAAGAAGAUAUAGCGCAAUAUUGGACUGACGCAAGAACACUAGAAAUGCAAGUGUGAGAUAUUUUGGAGAGACAUGUGAUAAUUUUACCGGAUUAAGGGGACAUUUCCUACUGUUAAACUCAAAAUCGGUUGUUCAGCAAGUUUUAUUAAAAUAAGUUCGAAUAUAUGCAUAAUUCGUGGUAGAUUUUAUAUAGAAGCUAAUUUCGGUUUAGACAAUGAAUUUAGAUCAAAUAUACCAAUUGGUCACGUUCAACCGAACUUUUCAAGUAACUUAGUGCUCCCCGUUCCUUCUAUAGUGUCGCAACAGCAACGACAUAGAAGAUUGCCAUAAAUCGUUGUUUUAUCAACUUUAACUUGAAAGAGGAUCUGCAUGCAUCUAUCCACAGAUAUAGUUCCGCAAUGGAAAAGUCCCCCAUUUCAUAAUUAGUUUAGUAAGACCUGAAUUCAAAGGUUCCCCUUAAUACUCUAAAAUUAAUCCAACAUCGGGAAGCAUAUUCAUCGGAAGAAUAAAACGAUUGUCGCAGAAUCUUUAUUAUAUCCAAUGGAAUCCAUCUUGCACCCAGUACAGUUGUGAAAUAAUGUUUCAUUAGCCACAAUAAAAAAAUGACGUAAAAAAUAAAUUAUCAUAACUAGAAUAGACUCCCAUGGAUGAAAAUAAGUCUAAGAUGAAAUUCUAGGUGAACUAAAUAAAUACAAACACGAAAAACAAUUGUUACAAUUAAUUAUAUGUAAACUUGUAAGAUGUAAUGUUGAAAUAAUUAAUUCUUCGCAUUAUAUUUGAGUCAUUUACCUCGAAUUCAAUUGGUAUAAAAAUGUUUGUUACACAAGAUGUUACUUAUCAUGAAUCCUUGAUUUUGUAAACAUAAAUAAAUUGAAAUGUAUACUUUUUGGUAAUAUAGGGCAAAGCGUUACCCUUAUGUACUUUAGGAGCCAUCAUCAUCUCUGAUCAAACCCAGCUUUGAAGGUACCAAUACCCAGAAUCAGACUACAUUGCUGAUUAAAAGGCUCAGUCAAUGUGCCACCAUGAUAUGUUUUUUUCUACGAAACAAGUGAUAAACUCUGUUUUCUUGUUAAUAUGUUAUCAAAUAUAUUUUUAUACAAAUACUUUGCUAUUUUGAAAAUGUUCGCAUAACGCCAAACAGCAUCAACGUAGAUAAAAUCAAGUUGCUUCUCUGUCACGAAGUUGAAGAAAUCAAUGAAAACGAAAGAUUUAAGACAGUAACCUGUACAAUAUAAUCAUUUUCUAUUUUUUACAAAGCAUUAAUUACCAAUUCUUUCUGCCCUGGGUUUAUGAAGUAUCUAACUUGUGAGUUACGCUAACUGUUUUUUAUCUAAAAUUGUACUAAUUUUUUACGCUGUGAACCUUUUAAUAAUUAUCCCCGCGCACAAUCUAUUAUACUUUCAAGAGAUUCAUUAGUUUUUCAUAUUAACCCUGCUAGUGUUUGGUCAUAUACUUAUUGACGUUUAUUAAAAGUGGAAGAGAAAGAUUUGAAUACAUAACAAGCGAGUAAAAUCAAAAUAUUUUAACGGUAACCUUAUUAUGUAGCCCAGCUACCCUAAAUAAAGUUAAAAGUUCUGAAUCCUCUUUCUUUGUGGAAACCUUCUUUUAUUAAUGAAUGAAAUUCAGAUGUGGCUUCCGCUCGUAUUUAAAUAUUUCAAUUUCAUUUCAAUGAAAUCUAUUAUUUGGUAAUAUUUCCAUUAUUAAAUAUUAUGAAGAUUAUUCUGAUAAUUCAUACGUAAUAACUUUUUUACAAACUGUGAGCAACAACUUAGAAUGGAUUUUCUUUUUUCAAAAAUGAUCCUUAUCACUGUCUAACUAUGAUAGUCUAAAUAUUGUGAAAUUUAAUGACUGUCUUUCGUAAUAAUAGUGAUAAACAUCCAAAGGAUUUUAAGUUGAGCACAUAGGAGAGACAUCCAUAACGAUACUACAUUUCUACAAGAUAUAGCUGUAAAGCAAAUAUAAUAUUACCAUAAUUACAUACAUUAAACAUGAUACCGAAAUCAAUAACAGGAAAACGAACAUUCAAUAUAAAAGGUGAAACUUUUAGCUUUAUAAAGUGAAGGAAUUCAAAAUAUAAUAAAAUGAAAACAAUAUGAAUCUAGUGACAACAAAUUAUAGAGAGUAGUUAUGAUUACAUCAUUAUAUUAUAUAUAUAUAAUAUAUAUUUCAAUA